UCGCAUUAAAUUAAACCGUUCCGUAGGUGAACCUGCGGAAGGAUCAUUA
rnacentral:rRNA from 1 species